rnacentral:piRNA from 1 species
AGAUUAACUGGGCACGAGGAAUAAAAAG